ensembl:snRNA U2 U2 spliceosomal RNA
AUCGCUUCUCAACCUUUUGGCUAAGAUCAAGUAUAGAAACUGUCCUUUCAGUUUAAUAUUUGAUACGUCCACGUCUGAUGACAAUAUAUUAAAUGGAUUUUUGGAAUUUGAAAAUGGAAUGGGAGCGUGCUUCAUCCACCCCAUUCAUCAACCCGGUAUUGCAGUACCGCCAAAAAGAAAAACAGUAU